GACGAACGCUGGCGGCGUGCCUAAUACAUGCAAGUCGAGCGAAGUUUUUCUGGUGCUUGCACUAGAAAAACUUAGCGGCGAACGGGUGAGUAACACGUAAAGAACCUGCCUCAUAGACUGGGACAACUAUUGGAAACGAUAGCUAAUACCGGAUAACAGCAUUAACUGCAUGGUUGAUGUUUAAAAGUUGGUUUUGCUAUCACUAUGAGAUGGCUUUGCGGUGCAUUAGCUAGUUGGUGGGGUAAAGGCCUACCAAGGCGACGAUGCAUAGCCGACCUGAGAGGGUGAUCGGCCACACUGGGACUGAGACACGGCCCAGACUCCUACGGGAGGCAGCAGUAGGGAAUCUUCCGCAAUGGGCGAAAGCCUGACGGAGCAACGCCGCGUGAGUGAAGAAGGAUUUCGGUUCGUAAAGCUCUGUUGUUAGGGAAGAAUGAUUGUGUAGUAACUAUACACAGUAGAGACGGUACCUAACCAGAAAGCCACGGCUAACUACGUG
rnacentral:rRNA from 1 species